rnacentral:rRNA from 1 species
CUUAGAGUUUGAUCCUGGCUCAGGAUGAACGCUAGCUACAGGCUUAACACAUGCAAGUCGAGGGGAAACGACAUCGAAAGCUUGCUUUCGAUGGGCGUCGACCGGCGCACGGGUGAGUAACGCGUAUCCAACCUGCCCAUCACUUGGGGAUAACCUUGCGAAAGUAAGACUAAUACCCAAUGACGUCUCUAGAAGACAUCUGAAGGAAGAUAAAGAUUUAUCGGUGAUGGAUGGGGAUGCGUCUGAUUAGCUUGUUGGCGGGGUAACGGCCCACCAAGGCGACGAUCAGUAGGGGUUCUGAGAGGAAGGUCCCCCACAUUGGAACUGAGACACGGUCCAAACUCCUACGGGAGGCAGCAGUGAGGAAUAUUGGUCAAUGGGCGAGAGCCUGAACCAGCCAAGUAGCGUGCAGGAUGACGGCCCUAUGGGUUGUAAACUGCUUUUAUAAGGGAAUAAAGUGAGCCUCGUGAGGCUUUUUGCAUGUACCUUAUGAAUAAGGACCGGCUAAUUCCGUGCCAGCAGCCGCGGUAAUACGGAAGGUCCGGGCGUUAUCCGGAUUUAUUGGGUUUAAAGGGAGCGUAGGCCGGAGAUUAAGCGUGUUGUGAAAUGUAGACGCUCAACGUCUGCACUGCAGCGCGAACUGGUUUCCUUGAGUACGCACAAAGUGGGCGGAAUUCGUGGUGUAGCGGUGAAAUGCUUAGAUAUCACGAAGAACUCCGAUUGCGAAGGCAGCUCACUGGAGCGCAACUGACGCUGAAGCUCGAAAGUGCGGGUAUCGAACAGGAUUAGAUACCCUGGUAGUCCGCACGGUAAACGAUGGAUGCCCGCUGUUGGUCUGAAUAGGUCAGCGGCCAAGCGAAAGCAUUAAGCAUCCCACCUGGGGAGUACGCCGGCAACGGUGAA